GGGGAUUUAGCUCAGUGGUAGAGCGCUUGCCUAAUAAGUGCAAGGCCCUGGGUUCAGUCCCUA
rnacentral:tRNA from 1 species